rnacentral:lncRNA from 1 species
AAAGAAAUUUUUCGAAAGGUGUUAAUUUUAGUUCGUUUGUUACCUUCGUUCUAUUUUAUUUUACUUAUUUAUGCUUUACAAAUACAUUUUAACAAAAAUAUAUAAAAAAAAUACAAAGAGGGGGUUAGAUUUUACCUAUUUUGGUGGUGGUUAAAGGAGAGAACCGAAAGGUUCUUCUCACUUUCGGCCCGAUUGGCUGAGAUCUCGGCGCUCCUAGCCUCAAAAUCGGACUCCUCGCGAAAAGGCGCUUAAAAAGGAACUAUUUUAUUUUCGCCGAUCACCGUAUACGGCGGCGCCGGCACCGAUGACCGGCGUCUGGUGCGGUGGCUACGACCGGAGCCCUCACUAGACCCAUGGCCGG